rnacentral:misc_RNA from 1 species
GAAAUGCGAUAAGUAGUGUGAAUUGCAGAAUUCAGUGAAUCAUCGAAUCUUUGAACGCACAUUGCGCCCUUUGGUAUUCCUUAGGGCAUGCCUGUUCGAGCGUCAUCUAAACCUUCAAGCCCUGCUUGGUGUUGGGUGCCUGUCCCGCCUCCGCGCGCGGACUCACCUCAAAUCCAUUGGCGGCCCCCGCGUCGGCCACGAGCGCAGCAGAAACGCGAACUCGUGAGCCCGUCCGGGCGGCUCCCAUAAGCUACACCCACCCAGUUUGACCUCGGAUCAGGUAGGGAUACCCGCUGAACUUAAGC